UACGGGGGGGGCAAGCGUUGUUCGGAAUUACUGGGCGUAAUGGGCUCGUAGGCGGCCAACUAAGUCAGACGUGAAAUCCCUCGGCUUAACCGGGGAACUGCGUCUGAUACUGGAUGGCUUGAGUUUGGGAGAGGGAUGCGGAAUUCCAGGUGUAGCGGUGAAAUGCGUAGAUAUCUGGAGGAACACCGGUGGCGAAGGCGGCAUCCUGGACCGAUACUGACGCUGAGGAGCGAAAGCCAGGGGAGCAAACGGG
rnacentral:rRNA from 1 species